GAUGAACGCUGGCGGCGUGCCUAAUACAUGCAAGUCGAGCGAACAGACGAGGAGCUUGCUCCUCUGACGUUAGCGGCGGACGGGUGAGUAACACGUGGAUAACCUACCUAUAAGACUGGGAUAACUUCGGGAAACCGGAGCUAAUACCGGAUAACAUGUUGAACCGCAUGGUUCAACAGUGAAAGACGGUUUUGCUGUCACUUAUAGAUGGAUCCGCGCCGCAUUAGCUAGUUGUUAAGGUAACGGCUUACCAAGGCAACGAUGCGUAGCCGACCUGAGAGGGUGAUCGGCCACACUGGAACUGAGACACGGUCCAGACUCCUACGGGAGGCAGCAGUAGGGAAUCUUCCGCAAUGGGCGAAAGCCUGACGGAGCAACGCCGCGUGAGUGAAGAAGGUCUUCGGAUCGUAAAACUCUGUUAUUAGGGAAGAACAAAUGUGUAAGUAACUAUGCACGUCUUGACGGUAACUAAUCAGAAAGCCACGGCUAACUACGUG
rnacentral:rRNA from 1 species